UACGGGAGGCAGCAGGGGGAAUAUUGCACAAUGGGCGCAAGCCUGAUGCAGCCAUGCCGCGUGUAUGAAGAAGGCCUUCGGGUUGUAAAGUACUUUCAGUCGUGAGGAAGGUGUUAAGGUUAAUAACCUUAGCAAUUGACGUUAGCGACAGAAGAAGCACCGGCUAACUCCGUGCCAGCAGCCGCGGUAAUACGGAGGGUGCGAGCGUUAAUCGGAAUUACUGGGCGUAAAGGGCACGCAGGCGGUUAAUUAAGUUGGAUGUGAAUCCCCGGGCUUAACCUGGGAAUGGCAUUCAAGACUGGUUAGCUAGAGUCUUGUAGAGGGGGUAGAAUUCCAUGUGUAGCGGUGAAAUGCGUAGAGAUGUGGAGGAAUACCGGUGGCGAAGGCGGCCCCGUGGACAAAGACUGACGCUCAUGUGCGAAAGCGUGGGGAGCGAAAC
rnacentral:rRNA from 1 species